CAGCCGCCGCGGUAAUACGGAGGGAGCUAGCGUUGUUCGGAAUUACUGGGCGUAAAGCGCACGUAGGCGGCUUUGUAAGUUAGAGGUGAAAGCCUGGAGCUCAACUCCAGAAUUGCCUUUAAGACUGCAUCGCUUGAAUCCGAGAGAGGUGAGUGGAAUUCCGAGUGUAGAGGUGAAAUUCGUAGAUAUUCGGAAGAACACCAGUGGCGAAGGCGGCUCACUGGCUCGGUAUUGACGCUGAGGUGCGAAAGCGUGGGGAGCAAACAGGAUUAGAUACCCCAGUAGUCCCUGUCUCUUAUAC
rnacentral:rRNA from 1 species